AGCUAACGUUAUGGUUUGUAAUGAAAGGA
rnacentral:sRNA from 1 species